AUGACUCAUGGGAGGAAGCCUUUCUGCUGCAUCAGCGAUUUCCUGCUCUGUCGGCUUAGGGUCAAGCCGCACCGCAAGGGGUGGGAAAUGUUAUGUGGUGGCGCAACCCGGGAAGACAGCCCAAGGCCUCUCGACGCACUUGCCAGCUGGACGGGGCAUGGCGAGCCCAGCAAAGAGUCCAGAGAGGAGAAACCAUCAACACGGAAGGGGAUAAGUAGGUGGAAAGAACAGAGGAGAGGUCCUCGAAGAACAGAAUGUUUUUCCCCUUUUGCAAUGUCUUCUUUCAUCCCUUCCUUGUAUUCCAAUCUUGUAUCUAUAAUCAAGGAAGAACUCUAG
rnacentral:rRNA from 1 species